rnacentral:rRNA from 1 species
AUGGCUGAGCUCGCGGCGGGCGCCGUGAGCUCACUGUUGGUUGUCAUCCGGAGCGAGGCGCUGCUACUGCGUGGCGUCCGGCACGAUGUGCAGUUUAUCAAGGAAGAGAUGGAGAGCAUGAAGAGCUUCCUGACGCACCUGGCGAGGUGGGCACCCCCCGGUGGGGAGCAUGACGAGCAAGUGCGCACCUGGAUGAACCAGGUGCGGCUGCUCGCCCAGGACUGCAACAACUGCAUCGACCUCUACCUCUACCGGGGGAACCCCGAUAUCCACCGUGCCAGAGGAGGACUCCGAGGCUACCUCUGGUGGGCAAGCUGGUUACUGCACAAGUUGGCCGCUAAGCACCGCGCAGCUGAGCAGCUGCGGCGGCUCAAGGAGCGGGCACGCGACGUCGGCGAGCGGAGGUUGAGGUAUGGCGUGGAGGUCCCGGCCAAGUCAGGGGAGGGGCAAUCGCCUCCGGCACCUGGGCUAGCAGGGGCGGCACCUUCAGCACGGACUGCUGUGCGAGGUGGUCAUGCUGCUGGGGACGAUGACGGUGAAGAAGAGGGUGACGAUCAACUCAUGGGGGCAAUGACAACCGGCGGUCAUUCUGGUGGUCGAAGAGCCUUCAUUGAGCCUCGCACUUUGGACGACUAUGUCAAGGCAAAGCUACGUGAUUGGGUAGAUGAAACUCCUACAGAAGCCGGCGAGACUUUGUCGGUGGUCCUUGUGGCACCGAACACUUAUCAGGACCUUCUGGCUCUCAUACAAGAAUAUUUGGUUUUUUCGACGGAUUCAGACCUCGACUCUCAUCCCUCGGUUUUGCCAGUGGAGAACGGCUACAAUCGCUUUGUCUUGGUUGACAUCCCGGCCGUGCACCCAAAGUUUACGCCGCUACGACCCAAGGAAGUUCUCUUCUACAUUCUGCGCGAGCUCAGGCAAAGCACAAAAGGCAGAGUGGGGAAGAAGUAUCUUGACCCCUUGGAAGUUCAUGUAAGAAGAUUCCAAAUUUACAAUCAAAUUCACAGUGAAAAGAAGAGGGCUCUUGCUCUUCUCAAAAUCAAGGAGAAGAUCAAAAAGAUGAAGAUUUAUGAAAAGCUUGACAAAAUCAAAAGUGAUAUUCAAGGUCGACUACAGAGGGGCGACAAACUACCACAGCUGCAGGGUGAGUUUCACCAGCUGCACCUAGACGUACUCCUUCAGCUGCUGCUCCAGGCAGCUGUUGCUGCGUCUCAACAAGACCAAGGGAAGAACAAUGACAUGCAAAUGUUACCAGAAUGGGACAACAUCAACAAUAACAUCAUCGUCAAGAAGCUUAAGGAGCAUAUGGAGGAGGGGGGCGGAGGAGGAGGAGGGGAAAUAGGAAGUCAGCAGACGACAUGGAUUCACCUCGAUGAGGCACAAUAUGCACACAUCCUGUGGAAGCUGUUCUCCAAGGGCUGCUCCAGCAGCAAGCCCCUGCAGGCUCAGGACAGAUGGUCGGACAAGCAAGCUACAAAGACCACAACGGCGGACAAGCAAGCUACAAAGACAACCACUGCUGAAUUGGGUGAGGAUCAAAUCAAACCAAUGAUCCACAAUGCAAAGGAAGGCACCUUACAGGAGCUGCAGAAAGGUGAGUAUGACAAGAGUGAAGGGACAGCUGAAUCUGGUAGUGUUCCGGAUCAAAACCCAGAAACUGUUUCUGAAAAAUUCGGUCAGAUGAUGGAGAAAUUAAAGCAGGAGUUCAAAGAGCAGCUCAAGAUCAAAGGUCUCGUGGACGAGAUUAAGCGUAAUUUGGAAUAUAUUUCGGACUGGAAUUGUUAUGAAUGUCCCCUGUUUAUCCUCAGAGUUGAUGAGCUGAUGGAUAUUGCCACAUGGGAGGGUACCAGAAAUGCUUUGAGCCUGCUAAACUGCAGUGCCGAUUUAAUGAUGGUCACCAACACAAAUGACGUCCACCUGGCUAGAGAAUAUUGCUAUCCACAGCGGGAACCUAUAGCUAUAGACUAUUCUCUUGCUGGCCUCUACCAUGAUACAGUGCUCCAGCUUACUAGCCAGCAGAAGAAUAAAGACAACUACAACCCCCAAAUUUUUCAUGAUAUCCUGUCCGAGUGUGAGCCACAUGAAUUCUGCAUGAAGAUCUUCACUCAUGCUUUGUAUGCUAACCCCAACAGGAGCAAUGAGGAGUUACUCAAGCUGCACAGCACCUUGCAGGCUUUGCCAAAAUCAUUCAACAGCAUCACUAAGGUGAUGUUCAAGUUCUCUUACAACGAUCUGCCUAAAGAAUACAAGUCAUGCCUACUGUACCUAGCUAUCUUCUCUAUGGGACACAAGAUCAGGCGGUCAACCUUGAUUGGACGGUGGAUUGCAGAAGGGCUGACAUCCAAUGAAGAUUGGCUCAGUUCUGUGCGUCAGGCCAACCGAUGUUUUGACACACUCAUUGACCGGUGCCUCAUUGAUCCUGCUGAUAUUGGUGCUGCAGGAAAUGUCAAGAGCUGUGUUGUAGGUGAUCUUUUUCAUGGAUUCAUUACCACCAUCGCCAGAAAACAACACAUCGUGGAGACACGGCUGUCACAUCACUUGGCUCGCCACUUCUCCAUUUUCAACGAUCUCCAGCUCCGUGGCUCUGAUAGAAUUGAUAAAUUCUUCCAGGGGCUCUCUGAAUCAUCUCGAGUAUCCCUGCUCAAGGUGCUCGAUCUAGAAGGUUGUCAGUGCUUUGGGAAGAACCGGCAGUACCUCAAGGACAUCUGCAGCAAGAUGUUACUUCUCAAGUAUCUAAGCCUCAGGAGAACAGAUAUUACCGAGCUACCUAGUGAAAUCAACAACCUCCGUGAGCUAGAGGUAUUGGAUAUCCGAGAAACCGAUGUGCCUCCACAUGCAACAGCAAAUAUCCUGCUAUUGAAGCUGAAGCGUCUGCUUGCUGGUCACAUUGAUCUGAAUGCAAGCAAGUUUGGCUCUAGUGGCCGGGUUCCUCGUAGGAUCGGCAAAAUGGUAAACAUGGAGGUCCUAUCUAAUGUCCAGGCCAAGCAUAGUCAUGAUUUAAAAGAUAUUGGAAAGCUAUGGCAGCUGAGGAAGCUAGGUGUGGUUAUUGAUGAUAAGGAUAGCCACCUCAGGAAUUUGCUUCAGACAAUCAGUGACCUCCAUGAGUCCCUCCGUUCUCUGACAAUCACUGCUAGUGUUCCGGUAGCCACACAAUGCGAGGGUACUCCUUCCAGUGCAGAGUUACCAGAUGGCAUUGGCUCUCUCUUAGAAAACCAACCCAAGAUGCUUGAGAGUCUAAGCAUCAGGGGAAUCAGUCUAAAUCCAUUGUUCAUAAAAGGUGACAACAAUAAACUUGCCAAGGUAACUCUUAGGAGCACCCUGCUGAGCCAAGAUGAUCUGAAAGUCCUUGCUGAGCUGCCAAAGUUACGGUGUGUCAGGCUCCAGCAUGUUACAUGCAUCGAGCCCGUGCUCAACUUCAAGAGAGGUCAAUUUAGAUGCCUCAAGUACCUUCUUGUUGAGGACUCGGACUUGACUAUCACUUUUGAGCAUGGAGCAGCAUGUGAGCUCGACAAGAUGGUUUUGUCUUUCAGCAAAGGUUCUAUUUCUGGAGUUGACAGGCUUCCAAACUUGAAAGAGCUUGAGUUGAAUAACAGCUUCUGCGGCAGGCUGCUAUCAUCAUUUGGCAAUGUCUCACAAAUAGCCAAGCUGACUCUUCGUGGUACAUUGCUAGAGCAAGACGCUCUACAAAUACUCGCCAAGAAACCAAAUCUACGAUGUCUUGUGCUCUUGAACGAGUCUUUUGGUGGAAUACAGAACGAGAUUACAUUAAAAGAUGAGUUCUUAUGGCUCAACCAUCUUGUUGUUGACUGCUCGGCCAUCACCAGGAUCGUCUUCACCAGCGGAUCUGCUCCUAGGCUUGAGAAGAUUGUCUGGUCAUCUUUCACAUCUCUCUCCGGUAUCCACAAACUUCCCAGUUUGAAGGAGCUUGAAUUCAACGGUGGUCAAGUCCCCGAUGAGGUGAGAGAGGGCAUUGAAAAGCAUAAAAACAAGCUUAGCCUUAAACUUUUGGACGAAAAACUUUAA